rnacentral:lncRNA from 1 species
AGUUACCGUUUACAAUUUUAGGUCCAACCUGAUGAGCAAGUCAAUCACCACUUUGUAGCCUUAGUAGAAAAAGAUGGAGAACUUUACGAAUUAGAUGGACGAAAAGAUUUUCCUGUUACGCACGGAAAAACAACUCAAGAAUCAUUUUUGGAGGAUGCUGCAAAAGUAUGCAAAGAAUUUAUUGAGAGAGACUCUGAAGAUGUUAAUUUUACUGUGAUGGCAUUGGUUGAGGCCGAGGCUUCUUAAAAAUCGAAAAAUGAUCUGUCUAAAAAGCUUAUUCUUACUAUGAUUAAAUUUUUGUUUGCAAAAUCAGCUGUUACUCAUUUCUACGGUGUAGCUUUUGUACGUGCCUUGUUUUUCUAUAUUAUUUUUUGUACUGAAAUUGUGAUAUGAGCAUUGGAGCCAAAUAAAUAAAUAUUAAUCAAA